GAUGGAUGCACUCUACUGACACUGUUUAUCUCCUUUCUACACUAUUUGCCCCCUCCCUGACUUGAGCGUCGGAGGGCCGGCGCCGGAAAACCCGGCCACCGGCUCGUGUGUAGGCACCCAGACGGAGGACGCCGCCAGCUGACGGAUCGUCGCCUCGCCGCGUGGACCAGCCGUCCCUUCUCUCCGACCGCCCCAGACGGAGGACGCCGCCCGCCGACGGACCGCCGUCCCGCCGUGAGAACUCGCCGCUCCCUCUCCUCGACCGAAGAUUGCCCCCGGGUCCAAUUUCCAGCAACA
rnacentral:lncRNA from 1 species